ACGGUUGCUUGUGUUUGCACCUCGGCUUUCAAGUAAAUCUUUUAAGGUGGUGCGCUUUAACUUAUCGUAGGUGUUCUCCAUCCAUUCUAUACCUCUCCUUGGAAGUCCAGGAUGCCGCUGCCACCAAUUGUUACGAUUGCCUCCGGUCUAGCAAGAGGUUGGAUUGCUUGGAUGUCCUGGUUCCUGAAGUUGGAGAGUCGAACGCUGCUUCAAACGGUAGAAACCUGUAAGUGUAGAAUAUCCCACUAGCUAUAGUACAGGGAGUGCAGAAUUAUUAGGCAAGUUGUAUUUUUG